UCAAUAUGUAUUAAGUUUGAAUAUUGAUGUUGUUUUAGUUGUUGUAAAUUUAGCCUUAGCAUUUGGGUAUAGAGAAAUACCUGAGCGUGGCGGUAGCAC